UGUUAUAGAUGGACACCAUAUGUGGUUC
rnacentral:sRNA from 1 species